GGGGGGGCCGGGGGGGCCGGGGGAGGGCUGGGAGCUACCGGGCACCGGGGCCGUACCGGGCCGGGAGAGGAGCGGAGCGCUCCGGAGGCGGCGGGGCCGGAUGGGGUCGGGUCGCAUCCCGCCGGCCCCGCACGGAGCUGCCACCGGGAUCGGCUCCGUUUGGGAAGGAACCGGCACGGACGGCACCGGGAGCAGCACCGGGGCCGGGUACCGGAGCACCGGGUGCCGCAAGCAGCGCGGUUGUUCGGGGCCACCCCAUUGUUCCCGGCCGCCCCUCGCUGUGGGGUGAGUUACCGACAAUUUAUUAGCUGGGAAGAAAUGAAAAAUGAAGAAAAAAACCCAAAACCGACGGCCGGGCUUCCCGCAUGAGGUGGGUGACACGGGGAUGUGCCGUGAGCAGCCCCGGUGCUUCCCCGGUACCGGCGUAACGGUGAGGUCAGUGCUGAAACGAACCCGGGCCGGUUAAUUAAUGGGGUUUUAAUAACAGGCACCGGCCCCGUGCAUCCUUCCCGGUGUGUCCUAUGCGGCUCAGGACCUGGGACCCCCCCUCCUCGCCCUCGCCUUUGUCCGCACCCGGGGCGGCCCCGCGGGCACCGGAGACAAAGGGCGGCGGGAGGGGGUCCUGCGGGGCCACCCUUUAUUGGGGCCGAACCGAACCGAACCGGGUUGGACCCGGUGCCCCCUGCCCCGGGAACAAAGGUGGCAGCUUUGGGGUGAGCUCCCCUGACCCCUGCUCCGGGUGGGGAAAAUGUGGGGCUGGGGGCUCGGCACCGGCACGGGACGGGAUGCACCGGGACCUGGCUCCUUUGUCCUCGCUCCCACCCGCAGCACGCGGCGCUGAGCGUCCCGGGGGGGCUCAGCACGGCUGGGGGGGGCUCAGCACGGCUUGGGGGGGGCGCACAGGGACUUGGGCUGCUCCCCCGUGCUCUGCAUCGCCGUGGCCGUGCGGAGCCGCCCUGAGCACCCAAGGGUGCUGCCUGGGGCUGUGCGGCGGGGGCACCCCGGGGACAGCCAUCGGGGGGGUACCGGGGGGGCUGCAGAGCCUGCGUUGGCCCCCGGGGUCCCGGCACGGCCUCGUGGCUCCUCCGGCAGCCGCCCCGGCCUCGAGCCGUGCGCUCAGCCAGGAGCAGGCGCCUGCUUUGGGUGUUUGUUUGGCAUUCAUUUAAAAAAAAAAUAAAAAUAAAUUGUUGUUGUC